GAUGAAGAACGUAGCGAAGUGCGAUAAGUAAUGUGAAUUGCAGAAUUCCGUGAAUCAUCGAAUCUUUGAACGCAUAUUGCACCUUCUGGUAUUCCGGAAGGUAUGCCUGUUUGAGGGUCAGUUAAAUAAAAAUCGGUGUUGUUGCUGCCUUUCGUGGUGACGCGUCGGAGUUGGGUCGUCUUAACCUUCGGCUAAGUGACUUAAAAUUUUGCAUGAUUUUUCGAACGUAUUUAAAUUGUUUUACGUACGUUUGGGAUAUCUGAAUGUUUUUAUUAGGUUCGGUCAUCCUCAUGAUUCGCGCCUAUAAAUCUUUUCAUUAAAUGACCUCAAAUCAGGUAAGAAUACCCGCUGAACUUAAGCAUAUCAAUAAGCGGAGGA
rnacentral:misc_RNA from 1 species